rnacentral:tRNA from 1 species
AUUGCUUUGGCAGAAUAGUGUAAUAGAUUUAGGAUCUUUUUAUGUGGAUAGUAUCUACAAGUAGUA